rnacentral:rRNA from 1 species
AUUGAACGCUGGCGGCAUGCCUUACACAUGCAAGUCGAACGGUAACAGGUCUUCGGAUGCUGACGAGUGGCGAACGGGUGAGUAAUGCAUCGGAACGUGCCCAGUUGUGGGGGAUAACUGCUCGAAAGAGCAGCUAAUACCGCAUACGACCUGAGGGUGAAAGCGGGGGAUCGCAAGACCUCGCGCAAUUGGAGCGGCCGAUGUCAGAUUAGCUAGUUGGUGAGGUAAUGGCUCACCAAGGCGACGAUCCCUAGCUGGUUUGAGAGGAUGAUCAGCCACACUGGAACUGAGAAACGGUCCAGACUCCUACGGGAGGCAGCAGUGGGGAAUAUUGGACAAUGGGCGCAAGCCUGAUCCAGCCAUGCCGCGUGUGUGAAGAAGGCCUUCGGGUUGUAAAGCACUUUCAGUAGGGAGGAAGCGUUAUGUGUUAAUAGUACACAGCGUUGACGUUACCUACAGAAGAAGCACCGGCUAACUCUGUGCCAGCCGCCGCGGUAAAAC